ACCCCGGGACCGGCUCUUAAAGGGACCACGCGGCGUCCGGGACCCCGCCUCCAGGAAGCCCUCCCGGCCCCGGGCCCCGCGUCACCCAGGCCCCCCGUCACCCGGGCCCCCGGCCGCGUCGCACAGACCCCGGACGGUCCAGCUGAGCGGCUCCGGGCGCGAAGUCCUCCCCCCGACCCGGACAGGCGCCGGCGCCGCUCCCCCCUUCUCCUGGCCUUUGUUGGCGCUGGGCCGCCGCCGGGGAGCCCUCCCCAGACCCAGGCGCGGCGUUUUACCUGCAGCGGCUGUGCUCGCCCCGCCGCGACCCCCGCAGGACGGAGCCGGAUCCCCCUGCACUCGGGCGGACCUGGGACCCUCAGAGGCGAGCCGGCUGCCUCGGGUCACACAUCCGCGAACUCCGGGGGCGGGCUCCCCAGGACGCCGCCGACCCCCCACGACCCCCAGCCCUCCCGCUUCCGUGGAAAGCCGCCCCGACGACCCCUGUGCGGGCUGUUGAGGGGCCGCACCCCGCCGACCGCUGUGGGAACACCUCCGCGCGUGCGGCGGGGACGCGGCGAGUCCGGGGCAGGAAGAACGCACGGGUAAUUGCACCUUCGGCAGGUGUUGGGCGGGAGCAAGGGGGUCAGACUCGCGCUGCAGGGGGAGGGCGGGGGAGGCCUCGCUGUCCUGGAGGAAGGGGACAAAGACCCCUGCCCAGGAGCCUGGGAGCCUUUGAAAGUAAUGAUUUUUUGGCGGGGGGGGGUUGUCACGAGACACCCUAGACAUUUCUAAAAGGCCCCCUCCCCGCUGCCGGGUGGAGAGGGAGCGUGGGGGGAUCCGCCUUCUGCCCCCGAGCCCCCAGCCAGCCUGGGCCCCCCAGGGUCACCCUGGGGCUCUGAAGGGGGCUUCGGCCGCUGGUUGAAUGAAGGGCCACAGAAAAUGAAGCUGGCGCAACGACCGCAGAACCCUCAGUGGGCACCAGGACCACGGAGCUCAGGGUGCCAAUGGUGAUGGCUGGGGGUGGGGAGUACUGUGGGCAGCAGGGGAUGCUGAGCGGGGUUUGGGGCUCCCCCUUUCCAUACUCAGUCUUCCUGCCAGCCUCAGAGCUGAGUACACCGUUGGCGAUUAAUAAGCGCUUGCAGCUCCCUUCCCUGGCCAGCCUGAGGGGAGCGGCAGUGGCCCGUAUGGGGUGGGGGUGGCGGUGGAGUGCGUCCUGGCGCAGAGCUGGCACACAGCACAAACAAACGCCUUGGCGGGAGUGGGUCUGUCCCGGAAGGGAGCCCAGGGGUUAUUGGGGUUGGGGCUGCGCCCCAAAGCGGGAGGGCCCUGCGAGAAGGGAGGCCCUGGCUGGAGGGGGACCCUGAGACUGGAGGUGCCGGACCCGGAUGCGGGGCCAGAUGGAGACAACAGGAAGGAAAGAGACCUUCCUGGUCACACUUGGGCCACAGGAGAACAGGCAGCGGCCCAGGAGGAUCCAGGGUCCUGAUGGUGGUUGAGAAGCUGGU
rnacentral:lncRNA from 1 species